GACACCAUGAGGGCCAGCAGCUUCUUGAUCGUGGUGGUGUUCCUCAUCGCUGGGACGCUGGUUCUAGAGGCAGCUGUCACGGGAGGUGAGUGAACAGGUCAAGACACUGUCAAAGGCCGUGUUCCAUUCAAUGGACAAGAUCCCGUUAAAGGACAAGUUUCAGUUAAAGGUCAAGAUAAAGUCAAAGCGCAAGAGCCAGUCAAAGGUCCAGUCUCCACUAAGCCUGGCUCCUGCCCCAUUAUCUUGAUCCGGUGCGCCAUGUUGAAUCCCCCUAACCGCUGCUUGAAAGAUACUGACUGCCCAGGAAUCAAGAAGUGCUGUGAAGGCUCUUGCGGGAUGGCCUGUUUCGUUCCCCAGUGAGAGGGAGCCGGUCCUUGCUGCACCUGUGCCGUCCCCAGAGCUACAGGCCCCAUCUGGUCCUAAGUCCCUGCUGCCCUUCCCCUUCCCACACUGUCCAUUCUUCCUCCCAUUCAGGAUGCCCACGGCUGGAGCUGCCUCUCUCAUCCACUUUCCAAUAAAGAGUUCCUUCUGCUC
rnacentral:lncRNA from 1 species